rnacentral:rRNA from 1 species
AUUGAGCGCUGGCGGAAUGCUUUACACAUGCAAGUCGAACGGCAGCACGGACUUCGGUCUGGUGGCGAGUGGCGAACGGGUGAGCAAUGUAUCGGAACGUGCCCAGUCGUGGGGGAUAACGUAGUGAAAAUUACGCUAAUACCGCAUACGAUCUAUGGAUGAAAGCGGGGGAUCGCAAGACCUCGCGCGAUUGGAGCGGCCGAUAUCAGAUUAGGUAGUUGGUGGGGUAAAGGCCCACCAAGCCAACGAUCUGUAGCUGGUCUGAGAGGACGACCAGCCACACUGGAACUGAGACACGGUCCAGACUCCUACGGGAGGCAGCAGUGGGGAAUUUUGGACAAUGGGCGAAAGCCUGAUCCAGCCAUUCCGCGUGCAGGAUGAAGGCCCUCGGGUUGUAAACUGCUCUUGUACAGAACGAAAAGGUUUCUACUAAUACUAGGAGCUCAUGACGGUACUGUAAGAAUAAGCACCGGCUAACUACGUGCCAGCCGCCGCAGUAA